UACAGAGACUGCAAGCGUUUAUUCGGAUUCACUGGGCGUAAAGGGUGCGCAGGCGGUUGGGUGUGUCAGAUGUGAAAUCCCCGAGGCUUAACCUCGGAACUGCGUCUGAAACUACUCGACUAGAGUACUGGAGAGGGAAAGGAAUUCACGGUGUAGCAGUGAAAAUGCGUAGAUAUCGUGAGGAACACCAGAGGCGAAGGCGGUUUCCUGGACAGUUACUGA
rnacentral:rRNA from 1 species